AACAGGGCAGAAACAGAUGCACAGAUAAUCCAAGAAGUUUUUGGAAACUGUAGGGGACAAUUUCCUGGUACAGGUGCUGGAGAAACCAACCAAGGGCAGAUCUCUUCUUGACCUGCUGCUCACAAACCGGGAAGAAUUAGUAGGGGAAGCAAAAGUGGAUGGGAACCUGGGAGGCAGCGACCCUGAGAUGGUCGAGUUCAGGAUCCUGACACGGGGAA